rnacentral:rRNA from 1 species
UACAGAGGUCUCAAGCGUUGUUCGGAUUCAUUGGGCGUAAAGGGUGCGUAGGCGGCGCGGUAAGUCGGGUGUGAAAUCUCGGAGCUUAACUCCGAAACUGCAUUCGAUACUGCCGUGCUUGAGGACUGGAGAGGAGACUAGAAUUUACGGUGUAGCGGUGAAAUUCGUAGAUAUUCGGAGGAACACCAGUGGCGAAGGCGGCUCACUGGCUCGACACUGACGCUGAGGUGCGAAAGCGUGGGGAGCAAACAGG